AGAGUUUGAUCCUGGCUCAGAUUGAACGCUGGCGGCAUGCCUAACACAUGCAAGUCGAACGGUAACAGGUCUUCGGAUGCUGACGAGUGGCGGACGGGCUGAGUAAUGCGUAGGAAUCUGUCUUUUAGUGGGGGACAACCCAGGGAAACUUGGGCUAAUACCGCAUGAGCCCUGAGGGGGAAAGCGGGGGAUCUUCGGACCUCGCGCUAAGAGAGGAGCCUACGUCCGAUUAGCUAGUUGGCGGGGUAAAGGCCCACCAAGGCGACGAUCGGUAGCUGGUCUGAGAGGACGACCAGCCACACUGGGACUGAGACACGGCCCAGACUCCUACGGGAGGCAGCAGUGGGGAAUUUUUCGCAAUGGGGGCAACCCUGACGAAGCAAUGCCGCGUGGAUGAAGAAGGCCUUCGGGUUGUAAAGUCCUUUCGUGGAGGACGAAAAGGCGGGUUCUAAUACAAUCUGCUAUUGACGUGUAAUCCAGAGAGCC
rnacentral:rRNA from 1 species